CCUUCGGGCGCCGACGAGUGGCGGACGGGUGAGUAACGCGUAGGAAUCUGCCUCAUAGUGGGGGACAACGUGGGGAAACUCACGCUAAUACCGCAUACGCCUACGGGGGAAAGCGGGGGAUCUUCGGACCUCGCGCUAUGAGAUGAGCUGCGUUAGAUUAGCUAGUUGGUGGGGUAAAGGCCCACCAAGGCGACGAUCUAUAGCUGGUCUGAGAGGACGAUCAGCCACACUGGGACUGAGACACGGCCCAGACUCCUACGGGAGGCAGCAGUGGGGAAUAUUGGACAAUGGGCGAAAGCCUGAUCCAGCAAUACCGCGUGUGUGAAGAAGGCCUUAGGGUUGUAAAGCACUUUCAAUUGGGAGGAAAACCUACCGGUCAAUACCCGGUAGCUUGACAUUACCUUUAGAAGAAGCACCGGCUAACUCCGUGCCAGCAGCCGCGGUAAUACGGAGGGUGCGAGCGUUAAUCGGAAUUACUGGGCGUAAAGCGUGCGUAGGCGGUUCGUUAAGUCAGAUGUGAAAGCCCUGGGCUCAACCUGGGAACGGCAUUUGAAACUGGCGGACUAGAGUUUAGUAGAGGGGAGUGGAAUUUCAGGUGUAGCGGUGAAAUGCGUAGAUAUCUGAAGGAACACCAGUGGCGAAGGCGACUCCCUGGACUAGAACUGACGCUGAGGUACGAAAGCGUGGGUAGCAAACAGGAUUAGAUACCCUGGUAGUCCACGCCGUAAACGAUGUCGACUAGCCGUUGGUCCUAUUUACAGGAUUAGUGGCGCAGCUAACGCAUUAAGUCGACCGCCUGGGGAGUACGGCCGCAAGGUUAAAACUCAAAUGAAUUGACGGGGGCCCGCACAAGCGGUGGAGCAUGUGGUUUAAUUCGAUGCAACGCGAAGAACCUUACCUACCCUUGACAUCCAGGGAAUC
rnacentral:rRNA from 1 species